UGGGUAGAUGAGUUAUGCUAGGUAGCACGUAGACAGAACCGUAAUUUUCGCGCGUUGAGUGACAUUUACCCCUUUCAGUUUAAACCUGAGUAUAUUGAAAUAGAAGGCAAUGUAAGAAUAAAUGAAAACGAGAAGGAUUGAACAGACGAAGAGAAGAAAUUCGGUCGAAAAAGCCGGUGUGUUUGUUCGGCUGGCUGCUACUUGGAAAUGUCAACCCAGAAUAAGAGCCGAUGCGGCAACCAGCUCUGGUUUCUAACGCAAACUGUUUACGUUUAAAAGCCUGGCUUCGCUUGGGCUGUAAGAAAGAAAGAAUGACUGAAGACUUUUGCACAGUGCCAUCACCCCUCCAGUGAUUUAUGGCUCAGCCUCAGGGUGUCACCAGAGCAGGAAGUGCCAGGCAAACAUCCAGAUGGAGGGGGCCGGGAGGCGUCCUGAUCAGGUGUGAAGCGGCUGAUAAUAAUUAGAUCUGUUCUCAGAGAAAGCUCAUUCCUGACCUGUUCCCAUCCAGCCACGCUGCAUUGUGAAGAGGCCUUGGAUGCAACAACUGAGUUUAUCACUUUUAAUGAGAGACUCUGCAGUGGGCCACACUCCAUUACGCAUGAGCCAGAUGAUAAAUUACAUCGCCUUCCACGACUCCGUGACCCCCCAGGGGAUGUUUAAUUAAUCAGAAGCUGGACACGGCCACCGUUAUUCGAAGAAACAAGCGGCCGGAGCUGCCCUGGACACACACUCACUCCCACACAUCAUUAUUUGCCUUCCAGCCACCUCACCUUGAAGCCGUGUGUGAAAACAAAGAGUCAGAACAGAGAGAGGGACGGACAUCUUCAGGACCCGAAGGGGCUGUUACCUAAACAAACUCGGCAGCAGUUAAAAAAAUGAUUACCGUCAUAAAACACUGAUAAAUGAUACAUACUUGGUGUGUACAGACUUCUUAAAUUAGUAGACAUUUUUUCAAAUU